GCACCCAUAGCUCAGCUGGAUAGAGCGCUGCCCUCCGAAGGCAGAGGUCACAGGUUCGAAUCCUGUUGGGUGCGCCA
rnacentral:tRNA from 1 species